rnacentral:rRNA from 1 species
GAUGAACGCUGGCGGCGUGCUUAACACAUGCAAGUCGAACGAUGAAGCCCAGCUUGCUGGGUGGAUUAGUGGCGAACGGGGAGUAACACGUGAGUAACCUGCCCUUAACUCUGGGAUAAGCCUGGGAAACUAGGUCUAAUACCGGAUAGGAGCGCCUACCGCAUGGUGGGUGUUGGAAAGAUUUAUCGGUUCUGGAUGGACUCGCGGCCUAUCAGCUUGUUGGUGAGGUAAUGGCUCACCAAGGCGACGACGGGUAGCCGGCCUGAGAGGGUGACCGGCCACACUGGGACGAAGACACGGCCCAGACUCCUACGGGAGGCAGCAGUGGGGAAUAUUGCACAAUGGGCGCAAGCCUGAUGCAGCGACGCCGCGUGAGGGAUGACGGCCUUCGGGUUGUAAACCUCUUUCAGUAGGGAAGAAGCGAAAGUGACGGUACCUGCAGAAGAAGCACCGGCUAACUACGUGCCAGCAGCCGCCGUAACAC